GGCAGUGUAGCAUAGCGGGUUAAGGAACUGGGCUUGUAACCGAAAGGUCAUAGGUUCGAUUCCUGGGUAGGACACCGCCG
rnacentral:tRNA from 1 species